GCUCGUAGUUGGACCUUGGGCCGGGUCGGCCGGUCCGCCUCACGGCGAGCACCGACCUACUCGACCCUUCGGCCGACAUCGCGCUCCAAGCCUUAAGUGGCCAGGUCAUGUUUCCGGCAUCGUUACUUUGAAGAAACUAGAGUGCUCAAAGCAAGCCAUCGCUCUGGAUACAUUAGCAUGGGAUAACAUCAUAGGAUUCUGGUCCUAUUGUGUUGGCCUUCGGGAUCGGAGUAAUGAUUAAUAGGGACAUUCGGGGCAUUCGUAUUUCAUAGUCAGAGGCAUGUGUGCUGAGAAUUUGAAGAUCACGACUGCUUGCAUGGACAAAUGAGC
rnacentral:rRNA from 1 species